GGAGCGUUCUGUAAGCCUGCGAAGGUGUGCUGUGAGGCAUGCUGGAGGUAUCAGAAGUGCGAAUGCUGACAUAAGUAACGAUAAAGCGGGUGAAAAGCCCGCUCGCCGGAAGACCAAGGGUUCCUGUCCAACGUUAAUCGGGGCAGGGUGAGUCGACCCCUAAGGCGAGGCCGAAAGGCGUAGUCGAUGGGAAACAGGUUAAUAUUCCUGUACUUGGUAUUACUGCGAAGGGGGGACGGAGAAGGCUAUGUUGGCCGGGCGACGGUUGUCCCGGUUUAAGCGUGUAGGCUGGUUUUCCAGGCAAAUCCGGAAAAUCAAGGCUGAGGCGUGAUGACGAGGCA
rnacentral:rRNA from 1 species